CCUACGGGCGGCAGCAGUGGGGAAUAUUGGACAAUGGGGGCAACCCUGAUCCAGCCAUGCCGCGUGUGUGAAGAAGGCCCUCGGGUUGUAAAGCACUUUCAGUGAGGAAGAACGCCUGGUGGUUAAUACCCAUCAGGAAAGACAUCACUCACAGAAGAAGCACCGGCUAACUCCGUGCCAGCAGCCGCGGUAAUACGGAGGGUGCGAGCGUUAAUCGGAAUUACUGGGCGUAAAGCGCGCGUAGGUGGCUUGAUAAGCCGGUUGUGAAAGCCCCGGGCUCAACCUGGGAACGGCAUCCGGAACUGGCAAGCUAGAGUGCAGGAGAGGAAGGUAGAAUUCCCGGUGUAGCGGUGAAAUGCGUAGAGAUCGGGAGGAAUACCAGUGGCGAAGGCGGCCUUCUGGACUGACACUGACACUGAGGUGCGAAAGCGUGGGUAGCAAACAGGAUUAGAUACCCUUGUAGUC
rnacentral:rRNA from 1 species